rnacentral:rRNA from 1 species
AUGUCCGUUUGGAAAGCUUGGGCUCCUCCCAAGUGCAAAUUUUUUGCUUGGCUCGUCAUCCAGAAUCGUGUUUGGACAGCGGACAGGUUGCAGCGUCGGGGCUGGCCCAAUUGUUGGCUUUGCCCUUUAUGCAAGCAAGUUACUGAAUCUGCACCACAUCUCCUAUUCCAAUGCAGAUUUUCCCAACGCGUUUGGGCUAAUGUGGCUUCAUGGAUCGGCAUAAACAGUGCUAUCAUUGCGGGCUGGCGUUAUGAAAUUUCUGUAAAGGAAUGGUGGUUCAAGACUAUCCUAGAUAGGGGGGCCUCGAGGAAGGCUCUGGCCUCCAUGCUAAUGAUUGUUUCCUGGGAACUCUGGAAUGAGCGCAAUGCAAGAGUUUUUAGGAAUGUCGCUACCACGGUGACCAUGGUCACUGCUAGGAUAAAGGAGGAGGCUCGUAUUUGGGCGCUUGCAGGCGCUAGACACAUGUGUAAUGUAAUGCCGCGAGAGUGGACUCCAUUUCCCCGCCUUGCGGAUUCCUAUUAA